CCUACGGUGUGCAGCAGUGAGGAAUAUUGGUCAAUGGACGAAAGUCUGAACCAGCCAAGUCGCGUGAAGGAUGACUGCCCUAUGGGUUGUAAACUUCUUUUAUAAAGGGAUAAAACGAGACACGUGUGCCUUUUUGCAUGUACUUUAUGAAUAAGGAUCGGCUAACUCCGUGCCAGCAGCCGCGGUAAUACGGAGGAUCCGAGCGUUAUCCGGAUUUAUUGGGUUUAAAGGGAGCGUAGAUGGGUUGUUAAGUCAGUUGUGAAAGUUUGCGGCUCAACCGUAAAAUUGCAAUUGAUACUGGUAGUCGUGAGUAUAGUUGCGGUAGGCGGAAUGUGUGGUGUAGCGGUGAAAUGCUUAGAGAUCAUGAAGAACCCCGAUUGCGAAGGCAGCUUACUAAACUGCGACUGACAUUGAUGCUCGAAAGCGUGGGUAGCAAACAGGAUUAGAUACCCCUGUAGUC
rnacentral:rRNA from 1 species